rnacentral:lncRNA from 1 species
CAUUCUUCAACGAAGAUAGGUAUUGCUUGCAAUUUCUCUUCCAGUGACCAAGUUCGUGAUAAUAAAAGCACUCUUUGUCUAGAGUAGGUCCAGCUUUAACCUUGGGCGCUGGGUUUGGCUUGGCAGCCUUGCCCUUCUUCUUCCAAGAAUUGCCCUUCCUCUUAAAGCUAGGCUUGUUCUGUAUAGCCAUCACAUGGCUGCUACUAGCACUUUUCUUAAUAUCAGCCUCUGCUGUUUUAUGCAUGCCAUACAGUUCAUUUAAACCCUUCUCCAUCCCAUGCAUAUGGUACUUCGAGAUGAAGUUUCCAUAGCUAGACAGAAGAGACGAAAGAAUGAAAUCAGUGACCAACUCUUGGCCUAGUGGGAAGCCUAGCUUCUCCAACCAUUGAGUGUAAC